CAUAUACUCCCUCCGUCCCAAAAUUCUUGUCUUAGAUUCGUUUAGAUAUGAAUGUAUUGGUUAAGUUUUAGUAUUUAGAUACAUCCAUUACUAAACAAAGUUAAGACAAGAAUUUUGGGACGGAGGAGUAUAAA
rnacentral:pre_miRNA from 2 species